rnacentral:antisense_RNA from 1 species
CUUCACCGACCCCAGCCACAGCGGCCUGCCCGCCGGACGCGCCUCGCCGUACGUCGCGAGUACGGCGUGCGCCUC